UCCUGCCUGGGCACUGGGAAUACAAACAGUAGCACCAAAGGUCUGGCCCUACAACAUGGCAUCCCUUGUCAUUCCCAGGUCACCACAGAACUGGUGGAGUUUAAUGACUACUCGGGGGAUAUCAGUAUAGCUGGUGGUAUCUGCAGGUUACUUUUCAGGAGGAAGUUGCUGCUGAAGUGAAUACUGCCCUGCCCUCAAAUUUACUGCAGCCAGUGAGCAUUUUUGCUUUGGUGGUGUUCUUCAUCAGGAGCAACCAUGAUCCCUGUACUCUAUCAUUUCCAUCCUGCAACAAAAAAUGACAGCUACCCCAAGCACUUCUUAACUGGUGGAAAGUUAUGACAACAUCUGCAAUACAGUGGCUUGGAGAACACACCUGGAAUAGUGUUUAGAAACGAGAGGGGAUGAAACCCUAAAAUCCAACACCGGGAAGAAGAUCAUGCUGUCCAAAAGAGGAUCAAUGAUCUGUUGCUUAUCAGAAAAAAUGUCUUGAGUGCAAAAAAGAAAGGUUAACCAAUUAUUUUCAUGGUAAUGGUCCACAGAAAUCCAACCAGAGAUUUGCUUUCCCCAUCAUCCCAGCAGAAAGAGCACAAUACUACUUGAAUGGACAAUACUACUUGAAAUGCUUGCAAGAAAAAAACAGAAAUCACAGAGAAUUUGGUUGGUUGCUUUACCAGCUGGAUACUUGGCCUAGCUUAGUUAUAAGGCUUGCUAGGAGGUUUUCGGUUUCAACUGGUGGCUCAAAUCCAGUGGUGACUUGGCAGAUCUGGCAGUGUUUGGCAGGGUUUGCCACCAAGCAUGUGGAGCCCCCCCACCACUCCUGUGGGAUGCUCCAUGCGCCCCAGCAUCACAGCGUUCACAAGCCAUGCUGGUACCUCGACGUAUGUAGAAAAAACUUUUAAAGCUGUGUCUAUAUCCAAAUUGCUGAUUCUCCAAAUCAGCAUUGAAUCUUCAGAUUCAGCCAACUCGAAUCAGGGACAGUGAUCUGAAUUAACAAAUUGAAUCACUGUCCCUGAUCUGGGCCAAAUCCGAAUUGAAUAGGGUCUGCUUCACACACCCCUACUGUUUAGUGACAAAAGAUACAUUCUUCUACAAACUUAAAUAGCUUUGUUGAUAUGUCAGCAACACCAGAGAGAAGCAUCAAGAAGAGGGACAGAAAAAACACAACAGUGGGGAGUGAAGAGUGUGAACGAACAAGUUGUUCCCUGCUUGGGGAAGAGUCAGAAAAGAGUAACUAGGCACUUUGAGGUCUCAAGCCCUGAAAAAAACUGAACAGCCAAGUACCUUUGGGGGUGCUUAAGGCUGGACUGGGGACAGAGGGACUGCUUAACCCAUGGUGGGGGUGACAGAG